AGUUCUGUGGUGUAGAGGCAUGCUAGAUUGCAAACCUAGCGGCGCAGGGUAAGGCCUGCCGGAACUU
rnacentral:tRNA from 1 species